rnacentral:rRNA from 1 species
AGAGUUUGAUCCUGGCUCAGGAUGAACGCUAGCGGCAGGCCUAAUACAUGCAAGCCGAACGGCAGCGGUUCCUUCGGGAAGCCGGCGAGUGGCGCACGGGUGCGUAACGCGUAUGUAACCUACCCACUACAGGGGGAUAGCCCGGGGAAACUCGGAUUAAUACUCCAUAGUACCAUAGACUCGCCUGGGUUAAUGGUUAAAGAUUUAUCGGUAGUGGAUGGACAUGCGUCUGAUUAGCUAGUUGGUAGUGUAAUGGACUACCAAGGCUACGAUCAGUAGGGGUUCUGAGAGGAUGAUCCCCCACACUGGUACUGAGAUACGGACCAGACUCCUACGGGAGGCAGCAGUAGGGAAUAUUGGGCAAUGGGUGAGAGCCUGACCCAGCCAUGCCGCGUGCAGGAAGACGGCCUUAUGGGUUGUAAACUGCUUUUGUACAGGAAGAAAGAGUCCCUGCGGGGAAAGCUGACGGUACUGUACGAAUAAGCACCGGCUAACUCCGUGCCAGCAGCCGCGGUAAUACGGAGGGUGCAAGCGUUGUCCGGAUUUAUUGGGUUUAAAGGGUACGUAGGCGGAAGCUUAAGUCAGUGGUGAAAGCCUGCGGCUUAACCGUAGGAUUGCCAUUGAUACUGAGUUUCUUGAGUGCGGUAGAGGUGGGCAGAAUUCAUGGUGUAGCGGUGAAAUGCAUAGAUACCAUGAGGAAUACCGAUAGGGAAGCCAGCUCACUAGACCGUAACUGACGCUGAGGUACGAAAGCGUGGGGAGCGAACAGGAUUAGGUACCCUGGUAGUCCACGCUGUAAACGAUGCUCACUCGAUGUAUGCGAUACAAUGUAUGCGUCCAAGCGAAAGCGUUAAGUGAGCCACCUGGGGAGUACGCCCGCAAGGUGAAACUCAAGGAUUGACGGGGUCCGCACAGCGUGAGCAU